GCCUGGGUGGCUCAGUCGGUUAAGCGUCCGACUUCAGCUCAGGUCAUGGUCUCGCAGUCCGUGGGUUCGAGCCCCGCUUUGGGCU
rnacentral:tRNA from 1 species